AUACUGUUAGCAUUAAUAAAAUACUUCCAUUGAUGCCAACAAUAACGAUUUGUACGGUUAAAUGUAUUUCAGAAUUUAUUUCAAUCUUAAUAAUCAAUUUCUUCGUCUGUUGGAACUUUUCAGAUUUUUUUCUUAGUACCGUUUUGUUUUUUAUAAAGGGACAUAACACCAUUACUAACCGUGUAUGAAAUAAGCCCCGCCCCCUUCUUACCUAAUAUGGAAUAUAAAGGGACGUAACUCCACUACUAACCGUGUAUGAGAUAAGCCCCGCC
rnacentral:lncRNA from 1 species